AUUGAACGCUGGCGGCAGGCCUAACACAUGCAAGUCGAGCGGAUGAAGGGAGCUUGCUCCUGGAUUCAGCGGCGGACGGGUGAGUAAUGCCUAGGAAUCUGCCUGGUAGUGGGGGAUAACGCCCGGAAACGGGCGCUAAUACCGCAUACGUCCUGAGGGAGAAAGUGGGGGAUCUUCGGACCUCACGCUAUCAGAUGAGCCUAGGUCGGAUUAGCUAGUUGGUGGGGUAAAGGCCUACCAAGGCGACGAUCCGUAACUGGUCUGAGAGGAUGAUCAGUCACACUGGAACUGAGACACGGUCCAGACUCCUACGGGAGGCAGCAGUGGGGAAUAUUGGACAAUGGGCGAAAGCCUGAUCCAGCCAUGCCGCGUGUGUGAAGAAGGUCUUCGGAUUGUAAAGCACUUUAAGUUGGGAGGAAGGGCAGUAAGUUAAUACCUUGCUGUUUUGACGUUACCAACAGAAUGAGCACCGGCUAACUUCGUG
rnacentral:rRNA from 1 species